CCUAACGGCUGAACCAGCAACUUGGAGGAAUGUAUAGCGAAAGCUAGUUGCAUUUAACAUAGCGAAAGCUAUGUUUAUGCAGUAUUGACUAUGUCGAAUAAAGUUCUAGGUGGGUUAUGAUGAUGACAUUUCCUAUCUAUGUGUCUUGACCAAAUUACGUGCCAGCAGUCGCGGUAACACGUAAAAGACUAGUGUUAUUCAUCUUUAAUAGGUUUAAAGGGUACCUAGACGGUAAAUCAAGUCCGGUAAGGGUACUAAUUUUACUAGAGUUUAAUGUGAGGGGGCACUAAAGUACUGAUAAGUGUAGAGAUGAAAUUCUGUGAUACAAUAUAUGGCACUGGCAAAGGCGAAAGCAUCUCAUUAUGUAAUAACUGACGUUGAGGACGAAGGCUAGGUGAAGCAAAAAGGAUUAGAUACCCAAGUAGUCUUAGCAGAAAAUUAUGAAUGUCAUAGGAUGGAAAGAUGGAUGGACAAACAACAAAUUUUUUUUCUAUAAAUGAAAGUGUAAGCAUUCCACCUCAAGAGUAAUUUGGCAACAUUGGAACUGAAAUCAUUAGACCGUUUCUGAAACAAGUAGUGAAGUAUGUUGUUUAAUUUGAUGGUCCGCAAAAAACCUUACCACAAUUUGAAUAGAAAAAUUUUUUCAUACAAGCGCUGCACGGUUGUCUUCAGUUAAUGUCGUGAGAUCUUGGUUAGUUCCAUUAAAUUAACGUAAACCCUUACUCUAUUUUUAUAUAGAGUAGUUCACCGCUAGAUUGGAUGUGAUAACAGGGACUAAGACAAGUCAUCAUGGCCUUAAUAUUGUGGGCU
rnacentral:rRNA from 1 species